AUGGGAACGCGAAGAACCUUACCUAGACUUGACAUCUUCUGCAUUAAUCGUAAUGGAUGAAAUCCCUUCGGGGACAGAAUGACAGGUGGUGCAUGGUUGUCGUCAGCUCGUGUCGUGGGAUGUUGGGUUAAGUCCCGCAACGAGCGCAACCCCUAUUAUUAGUUGCUAACAUUAAGUUGAGCACUCUAGUGAGACUGCCCGGGUUAACCGGGAGGAAGGCGGGGAUGACGUCAAAUCAUCAUGCCCCUUAUGUCUAGGGCAACACACGUGCUACAAUGGUGAGUACAGAUAGAUGCGAUACCGCAAGGUGGAGCCAAACUCUAAAACUCAUCCCAGUUCGGAUUGUAGGCUGCAAUUCGCCUACAUGAAGUUGGAGUUGCUAGUAAUCGCGAAUCAGAAUGUCGCGGUGAAUACGUUCCCGGGUCUUGUACACACCG
rnacentral:rRNA from 1 species